rnacentral:rRNA from 1 species
CACGUAGGGUGCGAGCGUUGUCCGGAAUUAUUGGGCGUAAAGAGCUCGUAGGCGGUGUGUCGCGUCGGCCGUGAAAACCUGCAGCUUAACUGUGGGCGUGCGGUCGAUACGGGCAUCACUGGAGUUCGGCAGGGGAGACUGGAAUUCCUGGUGUAGCGGUGAAAUGCGCAGAUAUCAGGAGGAACACCGGUGGCGAAGGCGGGUCUCUGGGCCGAUACUGACGCUCAUGCACGAAAGCGUGGGGAGCAAACAGG